GACGAACGCUGGCGGCGUGCCUAAUACAUGCAAGUAGAACGCAGUUGCGAGCGGGUGAGUAACGCGUAGGUAACUGCCGUAUAGUGCGGGAUAACGAUUGGAAACGAUAGCUAAUACCGCCUACUGCGAGAUGGACUUGCGUUGUAAUAGCUAGUUGGUGAGGUAAAGGCUCACCUAGGCGACGAUUCAUAGCCGACCUGAGAGGGGGGUCGGGCACACUGGGAAUGAAGCACGGGCCCGACUCCUACAGGAGGCAGCAGGAGGGAAUCUUCGGCAAUGGACGGAAAUCUGAACGGGCAACUGCGCGGGAAUUGAGAAAGUUUUCGGGACGUAAAACUCUGUUGUUAAGGAAGCGGUAACUAACCAGAAAGGGACGGCUAACUACGUGCCAGCAGCCGCGGUAAUUC
rnacentral:rRNA from 1 species